GACAGCUUGCCAGAGUGGUUAAUGGGUAUGACUAGAAAUCAUAUGGGAUCUUCCCGCGCAGGUUCAAAUCCUGCAGCUGUCG
rnacentral:tRNA from 2 species